rnacentral:rRNA from 1 species
AACACGUGGAUACCUGCCUCAAGGCUGGGGAUAACAUUUGGAAACAGAUGCUAGUACCGAAUAAAACUUAGUAUCGCAUGAUAUCAAGUUAAAAGGCGCUACGGCGUCACCUAGAGAUGGAUCCGCGGUGCAUUAGUUAGUUGGUGGGGUAAAGGCUUACCAAGACGAUGAUGCAUAGCCGAGUUGAGAGACUGAUCGGCCACAUUGGGACUGAGACACGGCCCAAACUCCUACGGGAGGCUGCAGUAGGGAAUCUUCCACAAUGGGCGCAAGCCUGAUGGAGCAACGCCGCGUGUGUGAUGAAGGCUUUCGGGUCGUAAAGCACUGUUGUAUGGGAAGAAAUGCUAAAAUAGGGGAAUUGGAUUUUUUUUUUUUAAGUUUUGACGGUACCAUACCAGAAAGGGACGGCUAAAUACGUGCCAGCAGCCGCGGUAAUACGUAUGUCCCGAGCGUUAUCCGGAUUUAUUGGGCGUAAAGCGAGCGCAGACGGUUGAUUAAGUCUGAUGUGAAAGCCCGGAGCUCAACUCCGGAAUGGCAUUGGAAACUGGUUAACUUGAGUGUUGUAGAGGUAAGUGGAACUCCAUGUGUACCGUUGGAAUGCGUAGAUAUAUGGAAGAACACCAGUGGCGAAGGCGGCUUACUGGACAACAACUGACGUUGAGGCUCGAAAGUGUGGGUAGCAAACAGGAUUAGAUACCCUGGUAGUCCACACCGUAAACGAUGAAUACUAGGUGUUAGGAGGUUUCCGCCUCUUAGUGCCGAAGCUAACGCAUUAAGUAUUCCGCCUGGGGAGUACGACCGCAAGGUUGAAACUCAAAGGAAUUGACGGGGACCCGCACAAGCGGUGGAGCAUGUGGUUUAAUUCGAAGCAACGCGAAGAACCUU